rnacentral:rRNA from 1 species
AUUUCAAUUUUCUUUCACAAUACUAUUACACUAUAAUUAAAGUUAUUUUUUCUUUAUUAAAUACUAAAACAGAUCUCUAUAUAAUUAUUUUUAAUAAUUUAAACUUUAAAAAAUAUAAAUUAAUAAAUAAAAUAUAAUCAAUUUAUAUUGAUUUGCACAAAAAUCUUUUCAAUGUAAAUGAAAUGCUUUACUGAAUAAGCUUUAAAUUGCAUUCUAGGUACACUUUCCAGUACAUCUACUAUGUUACGACUUAUCUUACCUUAAUAGUAAGAGUGACGGGCGAUGUGUGCAUAUUUUAGAGCUAAAAUCAAAUUAUUAAUCUUUAUAAUUUUACUAUCAAAUCCACCUUCAAUAAAUAUUUCAAAUUUAUAUUCGUAUAAAUAAAUUUAUUGUAACCCAUUUCUACUUAAAUAUAAGCUACACCUUGAUCUGAUAUAUUUUCUUUUAAAAAAUUAUGAAAAUUAACAUUCUUAUAAAAUAUUCUAAUAACGACGGUAUAUAAACUGAAUACAAACUUAAGUAAGGUCCAUCGUGGAUUAUCGAUUAUAGAACAGGUUCCUCUGAAUAGACUAAAAUACCGCCAAAUUUUUUAAGUUUCAAGAACAUAACUA